rnacentral:rRNA from 1 species
AGCUUGCUCUGUGGAUCAGUGGCGAACGGGUGAGUAACACGUGAGCAAUCUGCCCCUGACUCUGGGAUAAGCGCUGGAAACGGCGUCUAAUACCGGAUACGAGCUGCGACCGCAUGGUCAGUAGCUGGAAAGAAUUUCGGUCAGGGAUGAGCUCGCGGCCUAUCAGCUUGUUGGUGAGGUAAUGGCUCACCAAGGCGUCGACGGGUAGCCGGCCUGAGAGGGUGACCGGCCACACUGGGACUGAGACACGGCCCAGACUCCUACGGGAGGCAGCAGUGGGGAAUAUUGCACAAUGGGCGAAAGCCUGAUGCAGCAACGCCGCGUGAGGGAUGACGGCCUUCGGGUUGUAAACCUCUUUUAGCAGGGAAGAAGCGAAAGUGACGGUACCUGCAGAAAAAGCGCCGGCUAACUACGUGCCAGCAGCCGCGGUAAUACGUAGGGCGCAAGCGUUAUCCGGAAUUAUUGGGCGUAAAGAGCUCGUAGGCGGUCUGUCGCGUCUGCUGUGAAAACCCGAGGCUCAACCUCGGGCCUGCAGUGGGUACGGGCAGACUAGAGUGCGGUAGGGGAGAUUGGAAUUCCUGGUGUAGCGGUGGAAUGCGCAGAUAUCAGGAGGAACACCGAUGGCGAAGGCAGAUCUCUGGGCCGUAACUGACGCUGA